GUGCCCACUGUGCUGCUACCAAAUUCUGCAGAGAUUCAACAUGCUCACAGAUGCAUAUCCCCUGCUUGGACUUGCAUACAAGUUCUUGCUGACACUGUCAGUAACCCAGGUGGCCUGUGAGCGAUCAUUCUCAACACUGAAGUACAUAAAAAGCAGACUGAGGAGCAGCCUGUCUUCCAGCAAACUGGAAGCCUUCAUGUUGAUGGCCACUGAGAAAGAUGUCCUUGUGGCUUUGGACACAGACACUGUCAUUGACAAAGUGGCAGAGAAGAGUGAGCUAAUGAGGAAACUGCUGUUGUACUAAGUUCCCCACCUCUCUAAGAAUGCCCUGUAUGGUUCAUUGUCCAUUGUUGAUGAGAGUAUAUGCAGAGGGCCUUGCAGCCUUUUCCACUAAGAGACGGCAUUAUUGUUAGUUUGUUGAAGUGACUGUUUUCCAGAUAUGCUGCUAUCUCUUGUUCUACGGAAAGGAAAAGGCUGCCGUCAUUUGUUUGAAGAGAAGAAAUUUCACUGGAGUGGACUUCACACUUUCUUUUUUGUUUAGCAGUGAGUUUACAGUAUGCUGUAUUUAUUACUAGUACUAAAUUAUUUGAAUUUAUUAUUUAAUAUAAUAAAACAUUUGAAAUUAUU